rnacentral:rRNA from 1 species
UACGGAGGAUCCAAGCGUUAUCCGGAAUUACUGGGCGUAAAGAGUUGCGUAGGUGGCACUGUAAGUCGGUAGUGAAAGCGUGGGGCUCAACCCCAUAUACAUUAUCGAAACUGCAGAGCUAGAGGACGAGAGAGGCAUCUGGAAUUCCUAGUGUAGGAGUGAAAUCCGUAGAUAUUAGGAGGAACACCGAUGGCGUAGGCAGGGUGCUGGCUCGUUCCUGACACUAAGGCACGAAAGCGUGGGGAGCAAACGGG